AUGAUAUUACUUUUGUGGUACGUAUGUCUAGUCCUUAUUCUCUCCGUCCUUUCGGUUCGGGGUAUCAUUCCAUACGGGCCGACGGAGGUGCAACAACUGAGCCCGUGUAACUCGGUGGUCAAACUGCCUUCCAAUUUCCAAUCGACGACCAUCUUCCAGCUGGACGCGCUCGACCGCCCCGCGCAGCCGGCCACCGAGGACUACAACGUCACCAGUUGCGCCUUCAUUUUCGAGGGCCCGCAAAACGCCACGCUCACCUUCCAGCUCUUCGGCGUCACCAUCAUGCGGGACCCCGACUUCCCGAAUAACACGGCGCCCUGCUUGGCCACGCCCACCAAGUCAAAUAUCCAGCUCUACGAUUAUACUGCUGACGGCAAUCUGCAAUUGAUCUCCAUCAAUUGUCAAAAUGAAACUUGGAGUGAGAGGAUUUCUACCACAAGCAACAUUGGAGUGUUGACCAGCACCAUUAGUGGACAUUUCGCUCUCUCCGUCCAAAAAGUCUACGCGGCCCAGGAGCUGGGUGAACCAAUAUUGUCCCUACCAUUCAAGUAGUUCCCCUGAAUUCCCCUCUAUCUGUGAAAUGAAGCUCAAACGUUUUACAACCCCCACCAUUAUACAGUUUUUUGAUACGCGCCUAAGAAAAAUGUGAGAACUACAAGUUUUCUGGCUAUUAUAUACUGAUCACGAACAAUGUCUUAUAACUUUACUGUAUUUCGUGAAUCUGAUUGUGUGCUUGGUGAUUUUACCGUAAUGUUUAACUGUAUAUCUUCUCCAAAUAAAAUAGGGGGAAACAUUACUCUUGAAGAUGUAAUACUUGCUCAGGGCAUCCCCGCCGAUGAUUUCGGAAAGUUAUAUUGAGUACUUUGUCAAACUGGGUCCUGUUCGCUCAGAAUAUUACUCAACCCUCAUCAUAACCACAUGAUGCAGUACUUGGAAGUUGGAACCAUGCCCAAUACUAAUAUUUACUCAAUGAAGAGUCAUUAACCGAGGAUAUUUUACAUUUUGUUAAGAAUUCAACAUUUAAACUCAGAGUCCCAAUCUUUGUGGUAUCGAUAAUCGUGAAGUAUUGACCCUUUUGAUUCCUCUUUUAAAAUAAUGUUCAAUUCGUUUCUUCACUUUUAAUAGUUUACACUAGAAGUGUGUGAGUGUGUGUACUUUUUUUUAAAUGAAAAAUAAAUAAAUGUAAAUUUUUUUUAACUUCUCCAGAACAGCUUUUACAAUUAAGUCGAGGAUCCACAAAAUCUCAAGAAAAAAUAUUCAUAAAUUUGCGCAAUUUAAAUAUUUUACGCGAGGAAAAUUCUUGAGUUUCCAUCCAAAUCCUCUAACGGCUUUUUUCCAUACAAUGACAGAAUGAUCUGGCGUCGUACUUUGUUUUUAGCCAUUUACAUGCACUCAAAACCAAGCAUGUAUGAUCGAGUACCUAGCCCUCUGAUUUGGUCAAACCUCGUUUCAUUGGAGCAAAUUGGGUCGUAAGCGUACAUUCAGAUAUCUCCUUGCAGAGAUCGAAUUUAAGUUCGAUGCACUCAAAAUCAUAGGCAGUUUAGAGUGAAAGCGACUUGGGGUUUAUAUUUUGCACAGUCAAACCGUGAAUCUUUAAAAACAUCCUCUAACUUGAGAAGUGAUUCGAGGAUUCUGAAAAGUGUUAAAACCUUCCUAUUUGAAUUCAUAUUUUCUUUGCUUGAACUGAAUUGAAUGUACCAUCACGCUCGUUCUGGAAAUAAACUAAUAGAACUCCAGAUAUUUUAUCGAUAGUUAAUGACUAGAAACUAGAGCGAAUCAAAGCUGACUUAAAGUUUCGUCAAUCAACUUUCGAAGUAAUGGCUUACUAGUUACUCGCUUGUGCCGCUGCCGCCGCGCCGCUCCGCCUCCUAGACAAUGAGAAUCUUCAAAUCGCCUUCAAUUCGACUCUAGGCA
rnacentral:lncRNA from 1 species